GCCUGGGUGGCUCAGUCAGUUAAGCAUCUGACUUCGGCUCAGGUCAUGAUCUUGCAGUUCAUGGGUUCAAGUCCCACCUCAGGCU
rnacentral:tRNA from 1 species